rnacentral:rRNA from 1 species
UACGUAGGGUGCGAGCGUUAAUCGGAAUUACUGGGCGUAAAGCGUGCGCAGGCGGUUUUGUAAGUCAGAUGUGAAAGCCCCGGGCUCAACCUGGGAACUGCGUUGAAACUGCAAGGCUAGAGUGUAGCAGAGGGGGGUAGAAUUCCACGUGUAGCAGUGAAAUGACGUAGAGAUGUGGAGGAAUACCGAUGGCGAAGGCAGCCUCUGGGCCCAACACUGACGCUCAUGCACGAAAGCGUGGGGAGCAAACAGG